rnacentral:rRNA from 1 species
UACGAGAGGCCCAAACGUUAUUCGGAAUUACUGGGCGUAAAGCGCACGCAGGUGGCUGAGUCAGUCGAUUGUGAAAGCCCUGGGCUUAACCUGGGAAUUGCAGUCGAUACUACUCAGCUAGAGUAUGGGAGAGGGUAGUGGAAUUCCCGGUGUAGCGGUGAAAUGCGUAGAUAUCGGGAGGAACAUCAGUGGCGAAGGCGGCUACCUGGCCCAAUACUGACACUCAGGUGUGACAGCGGUGGGAGCAAACAGG